UUGGAGGGCAAGUCUGGUGCCAGCAGCCGCGGUAAUUCCAGCUCCAAUAGCGUAUAUUAAAGUUGUUGCAGUUAAAAAGCUCGUAGUUGAAUUUCGAGACCGGUUUAUUGGUCGUGCUUUUGUACGUACUGGUAUUAUUGGUUUCUCCUUUCUGACGAAUCUUAAUGCCAUUAGUUUGGUGUUUUGGGGAAUCAGGACUGUUACUUUGAAAAAAUUAGAGUGUUUAAAGCAGGCUCACGCUUGAAUACAUUAGCAUGGAAUAACGGAAUAGGACGUUUGAUUCUAUUUUGUUGGUUUCUAGGAUCGACGUAAUGAUUAAUAGGGAUAGUUGGGGGCAUUAGUAUUCAAUUGUCAGAGGUGAAAUUCUUGGAUUUAUUGAAGACUAACUACUGCGAAAGCAUUUGCCAAGGAUGUUUUCAUUAAUCAAGAACGAAAGUUAGGGGAUCGAAGACGAUCAGAUACCGUCGUAGUCUUAACCAUAAACUAUGCCGACUAGGGAUCGGAUGAUGUUAAUUUUUUAAUGACUCAUUCGGCGCCUUACGGGAAAC
rnacentral:rRNA from 1 species